rnacentral:rRNA from 1 species
AGGCAGCAGUUAGGAAUCUUCCGCAAUGGGCGCAAGCCUGACGGAGCGACGCCGCUUGGAGGAAGAAGCCCUUCGGGGUGUAAGCUCCUGAACCCGGGACGAAACCCCCGACGAGGGGACUGACGGUACCGGGGUAAUAGCGCCGGCCAACUCCGUGCCAGCAGCCGCGGUAAUACGGAGGGCGCGAGCGUUACCCGGAUUCACUGGGCAUAAAGGGCGUGUAGGCGGUCUGGGGCGUCCCAUGUGAAAGACCACGGCUCAACCGUGGAGGAGCGUGGGAUACGCUCAGGCUAGAGGGUGGGAGAGGGUGGUGGAAUUCCCGGAGUAGCGGUGAAAUGCGCAGAUACCGGGAGGAACGCCGAUGGCGAAGGCAGCCACCUGGUCCACUUCUGACGCUGAGGCGCGAAAGCGUGGGGAGCAAACCGGAUUAGAUACCCUAGUAGUCC